GAUGAACGCUGGCGGCGUGCUUAAUACAUGCAAGUCGAACGGAGACAGUAGCAAUAUUGUCUUAGUGGCGAACGGGUGAGUAACGCGUUGGUGACCUGCCUCGAAGAGAGGGAUAACAGUUCGAAAGGAUUGCUAAUACCUCAUGUGGUUGCUUGGGUUAGAGACCUUGCAACUAAACGGAUUUAUUCGCUUCGAGAGGGGCCUGCGUCCCAUCAGCUAGUUGGUAGGGUAAUGGCCUACCAAGGCGAUGACGGGUAGGGGACCUGAGAGGGUGGCCCCCCACAAUGGAACUGAAACACGGUCCAUACACCUACGGGUGGCAGCAGUAGGGAAUAUUGGUUAAUCUGGGAAACCGGGAACCAGCAACGCCGCGUGCGCGAUGAAGGCCUUCGGGUUGUAAAGCGCUUUUAGAGAGGAUGAGGAAGGACAGUACUCUCUGAAUAAGCCUCGGCUAACUACGUGCCAGCAGCCGCGGUAAAACGUAGGAGGCGAGCGUUAUCCGGAUUUACUGGGCGUAAAGCGCGUGUAGGCGGUUUGAUAAGUUGGAUGUGAAAGCUCCUGGCUUAACUGGGAGAGGUCGUUCAAAACUGUCAGACUUGAGAGUGGUAGAGGGAGGUGGAAUUCCGGGUGUAGUGGUGAAAUGCGUAGAUAUCCGGAGGAACACCAGUGGCGAAAGCGGCCUCCUGGACCAUUUCUGACGCUCAGACGCGAAAGCUAGGGUAGCAAACGGGAUUAGAGACCCCGGUAGUCCUAGCUGUAAACGAUGUGAACUUGGCGUCGGUGGGUUCAAAUCCAUCGGUGCCGAAGCUAACGCGAUAAGUUCACCGCCUGGGGACUACGGCCGCAAGGUUAA
rnacentral:rRNA from 1 species